CCUGCCCAAGUACUAGAAUUAAAGACAUAGACCGCUAUGCCUAGCUCAUACAUUUAUUUAUUAGCAUGUGCCUUAACUUUUUCUCAAAAUCACACGUAUGUGUCUGGGUAUAAUAUAUGUUUGAGUGUAGGUGCCUUCAGGUCCCCCGAGGCUUCAGAUCCCCUGAUGCUGGAGUUCCAGGUGGUUCUGAGCAGCCCCCUGCAUGGGUGCUUGAAGCCAAACUUGGCUCCUUUGCAAAAGCAGUGUAUUCACUUAGCCACUCAACUACCCCUCCAAAACCAAUACCAGCAUGUGCUUUUUUUCCCCCCACAACCACAAAACUGGAGCAUCUGCACUGGUCCCCGUACUGAGAAGAGCUCCUCACUAACUCUUCCUAUCCAUCAUCCUUAGCCGGGAUCUCCUUUCCUGGGACUCUCACAGGACCUCUGAAGACAGGAUUUACACUCCGCUCAGGGCAGGAUGAGAUGUGAAUGGACCCAGAUGACGUCAGCUGGUGUCCAGUUCAGGGAGAAAGCAGGCAAGAAGCUAAGGGUUCCCAUCUUUGACCUCAAGCGUUAAGAGAAAGAUCUCUGGAAGUAAGGCUGUCUCCUCUCGAGUCCCCUCCUAGUGAUGCACUUCUUCCUGCAAGGCCACAACUCCUAAACCUACCCAAAAUGCUAACAACUGGAGACCAAGCAUUGAGAUGCCGCAGCCAGCCAAUGGGGGACAUUUCACAUUCAAACCACUGCAGGAGGUUUUCAAUCAGACUGCAUGGGGCUACCCCUGUGCAAAGGUUGUUCAACACCCACCAGGGGUGGAGACCCAUGGAUUGAGAACUGAUGAGGUAUUACACAAGAUCCUGUCUAAAAGAGACUGCAUCUAAUGCAAAAGCAUUCCAGCAGUCCAGGAGAAUGUGAUUUUCCCAGGAGCCGACAAGUGCUAUGCCAUCAUCCGAUGCACAGAACCGUUCUAGCACGAAGAAAACAGCAAAUUGCUAAUUCACCAAGAGCCAUGCAAGGAUUGCCAAAAGCAUCCAUGCUGGGUUCUACACCACUUCUCACCUGAUUUAAGCAUCUCUGACUUUUAUUCCUUCCAAAGUCUGCUAAGGAGGAGGCCCACGGCCAGGCGGCUCCCUGAAGUGAUGGAAAAAGAAGAACUCACAAAGUAUCAAAGACCAGUACAAGCAAAGAAGAAACAAGAAAGAAAUUAGACUCACGGACCCCUAUCUCUUUCUCCCUCUGUCAUUUCUCGCCUAUCUAGUGAUGGGGUGGGGGGAUAAAAGGUGGAAAAAAGAACCCACAAAAUAGCAAAGACUGGCAACAAUAUUCCCCCAAAGCGAGUCAUCCCUAAGACAUCUCUUCGGCCUGCAAACAGAAGGGGUGUGGUCAACCCUCAGGGACCUUGUCUCGGAUGGAGAAGUCUGGCUGGCUGGAGUAAGUGCUGUUCUGGCAGCUGCCCAGCUCACUGCCUUUCCAUUUUAUCUUCUACUUCCGAGCUCUGCCCCUCCCUUCAGGUUCCACAGCAUUACCCACUUCUAUUGAUGACCUCCGUGACACACCACACCCAGUCUUUAUUCUCAGGGAAACAGCACUAUAGGAGAUAUAUAGCUAAGUAUAAGAUGCCUGGGCCAUUACUGAAGCCCCCACUUACAUAUUUAUAUACCUGUGACAGGCGCUGGCCAUAUAGCUGACCUCAAACUCAAAUCUUUGAGGGUGCACCCUCCUGUAAACCAAAUUUUAUUACUUACAAGUGAUGUCCUAGCUUCAUUUCUGUUGCUGUGAUAAAAUACCCCGACAGAAAGGAGCUGAGCGGAGAAGGGAUUAUUUGAUCUCCGUUCCAGGUUACAGUCCAUCACUAGUUAAGGCAGUGGGAGCUUGAAGUAGCCACAUCCACAGCCAAGAAUAAAGAGAUAUCACUGCGUGCAUAAUUACAGCUCAGCUAGUUCUUUUCUUAGAGUUUGGGGCUUCAAUCCAGGGAAUGGGACCACUCCCCUUCAGGCUGGGUCUCUCCCCAUCAAUCAAGACAAUCUCCCAGAUAUGCCCAUAAGCCAACCUGCCCUAGAGAAUCCUUCACGGACACUCUUUCCAGCUGAUUUUAGGUUGUAUCAACUUAACAGUUACAAGUGUCUCCCUUCAGUGGGGCAGUGGUAGUGCUUGCUUUUAAUCCCAGCACUCGGGAGGCAAAAGCAGGCAGGUCUCUUGUGAGUUCAAGACGAGUCUGGACUACAGAAGGAGUUCUGUGUAGCCAAAGCUGCCUAGAAAAACAAAUAAGGGCUGGAGAGAUGGCUCAGUGGUUAAGAACACUGACUGUUCUUCCAGAGGUUCUGAGUUCAAGUCCCAGCAACCACAUGGUGGCUCACAACCAUCUGUAAUGGGGUCUGAUGUACUCUUCUCGUAUGUGUCUGAAGAUAGCUACAGUGUACUCAUAUAAAUAAG